CCCAACGAGGAAAGGCUGUGUGUCGUUAAGCUAGGGAGUGCUUGGAAAUACAGGUGGAAGCAGCCUGUACAUAGGGGCAGAGGAGGCGCGAACCAAGCAAGGUAUGAGAGCCAGAGCCGUUGGAUUGCCUGUUGUGACCUGGACUGUUGGACUAACCCCUUUGUGUAUCGGACCGGAUUGGCUGAGAACCCAAGUGUGAGGAUUACCCCUGGGAAAAAGAACAAACAAAGAGAACGGCUUGUGAGAAUUGAGACUAGGCCAAAUAGGGGAUGCAGAGGCAAAGUUCUGAUUGACCAACAAGAGUGGGCUGUGGUCAAUAUGGUUCGGGCAAGAAAUGAUUUUUGGCUUACAGAAAUUCGGCAGCACAUCUUGGACAAUGACGACAUGUUCUACAAUGUGGAAGCCAUAAGUUUGCUGACUAUUGCGCGGAUGCUGAAAAGGCACCAGGUGUCUCUAAAACAGCGAUACCGUGUGGGCCUUUUGAAAGAAAUGCGGACAGAAUGAAGCAACUGAGGACGGAGCAUGUCCAGAGGGUGAUCGAGCUGGAUGCUGACGGAAACCAUCACAAAUUCCUCUUUUUGGAUGAGGCAGUCUUUAACCUGGCCAAGACAAGGAGGAGAGGUCGGAAUUUCAUUGGCCAGCGGGCAACCAUCCAUAUACAGUACCUGGACAACGUGGGGCCAACGUCACCAUGUAUGCGGCUAUAUCGGAAGAUGGUGAGGUGGGACGCAGACCUCAUAUUGGAUCAUAUAAUGCAGCUCUCCUUGUAACCUUCCUUGAUGAGUCAAAUCAGGUCUGUAGAGCUGAUGGCGUGACCUAUGUCAUUGUGUGGGAUAAUGUCAGGUUCCACCAUGCACAAAUGGUGCAAGCAUGGUUUCAGGCCCAUCCACAAUUUAUCACCCUGUACUCACCCACAUACUCUCCUUUUCUUAACCCGAUUGAGGAUUUUUCUCCACAUAGAGGUGGAAGGUAUAUGAUAGGUGCCCUCACAAACAAGCCACCCUUCUCAAGGCCAUGGAUGACGCAUGCAAUGACAUCACAGCAGGCCAGUGUCAGGCCUGGAUUCCCCAUGCCCGAAGAUUCUUCCCAAGAUGUUUGGCUAAUGAAAACAUCCAUUGUAAUGUGGAUGAGAACCUGGGGCCAAAUCCACAAGACAGGGUUGAUGGAAAUAUAGAACUACAGUAAUCAAUCUUUUGUUUUGCUUUCAACAGUAAGCCAGGUGAGGAACACUGCAGUUGACGUUUUACUGUAGUUUUUUUCUAUUUUGUAGCUAAUUAUUUUAGCUUUGAUUAAAAAAAAACCUAUAUUGUGAUUUUAUUGUAUUUCAUCAAUGGAUUUCAGAUUUUGUUCAAUGAUUCCACUGUCUGUAGUAUUCUCUCUACUAGUCCUUUUACGGUGACGUAUUUAUGUGUAGUAAUAUAAUGAAACAUGUACAUAUUUUGUAUUACAAUAUUUAAUGACUGUACGAAAAACUACACAGUGAAACUAUUGGUAUCUUGUGUGUGGGUGAACUAAAUAAAUGUUCCUAUGGUAUUUCAUGAUGAGUUAUUUGAACCAAUGAUUCCUCGUCCACGUGGCAAUUCUGUAAGAGUCAUAUGGAGGCCAAUUAGAUGGUGGUCCGAUCACAUUUCUGUCUCCUAUUAAUACUUUUUGUACUUUUGAUGGCAGCAAAAACGAGACGAGGAAGUAAUCAAGACGGCUAGCUUGAUUAAGCCUCCUCCAUGUAUAUCUCACGAGGUCAGGGUUUUUCAGCCUCCGUAUAUCCACUAGUUCUAAUGUA